rnacentral:lncRNA from 1 species
UCAAAGUCAAAUUCUUUUCUUCGUUGUGUCAAACUAGAUUUAGUAAACAUUAGAUUUUGUGCAGUUGUGUUUGAACUAAAUGCUGCUUUUAGUUUGGGAGCCAGCAUGUUCCAACAGGGCGGCACAGUGACGUGGUGGUUAGCAUCAUUGCCAAGAUGCAAGAAGGUCUUGGGUUUGACUCCAGCACCAGGCUGGGAUUUGCAUGUUCUCCCUGUGUCUGUAAGGGUACACUCCGACUUCCUCCCACAGUCCAAAGACAAGCGGUUAGUUUGGUCAGUUUAACAGAUGAUCCUAAAUUGCUCAAAGCUGUGAAUGGUUGCCCUACGAUAGACUGCUGACCUGUCCAUUUAUUUAGAAAUGCUUCUUCAUGUAUUAGUUUUUAUAUGUCACUCUAUUGUAUUGUGUGGGUGCUCUGGCUUCCUACCACAGUGUGAGAGUGAAUGGUUGUCUGUGUCUGUGUGUUAACCCUGUGACAGACUGGCAACCUGUCCAGGGUGCACAAUACCUCUCACAUUACACAGCUGGGGAUAAGUGGAAGAGGAUGUACGGAUAGUUUUCACGUGUUUGUGACUGUAAUCAAAAGAAUUUAUUUCCUUUAUAUAUUACUCUGUACAGUCUGUAUCAUUAAAAACACACCAAUCAGAUUGAGUAAGUGGACACAAUGGUUGGAAACAUGUUGCUCACAGUGUGAAGCUUCAAUCAUUUUGUCACUUUUAUCAACAAAGCGUUGCAGAAACAUCAACAUCUGUCUGUCUUUCUUUCUCACAGACGAUCAAAUCUGAAAAGAAUGAAUUCAUUCAGAAGCUGAUGGAAACAUUUCUUACAAAGCUCAGUGAAAGCAUCUCUAAGCAGACAGAGUCAGAGAAGAAAUCUGAAAUCAACAAUCGGCUCCAGCAGGUGAAGGAAGCAGCAGAGAAACUGAAGAAUCAGCUGGAGUCCAAAAAUCAGCAGAUGAUCAACUCUGAGAAGGAGAAGGAUGAAAUAAUUAAGAAGCUGAUGGAAACAUUUCCUAAACUGGAAUCAAAGGUCAGUGAAAGCAUCUCUCAGCACACAGAGGUAAACAUGGACAUAUGUGAUGCUGUCAUCCUCCCAAUGAUCACAGACCUGUAACCUUAUAUUCCUGCGGUUUUGUCCAGCAGCAGCUUUUUUGUAGAAGUAACUAGUAACCAUAAUUACUUUUUAAAUAAAUGGCCUGUAUUUAUAUAGCGCUUUUACUAAAUGGUAAAUGGCCUGUAUUUGUAUAGCGCUUUACUUAGUCCCUAAGGACCCCAAAGCGCUUUACAUAUCCAGUCAUUCACCCAUUCACACACACAUUCACACACUGGUGAUGGCAAGCUAGGUUGUAGCCACAGCCACCCUGGGGCGCACUAACAGAGGCGAGGCUGCCGGACACUGGUGCCACCGGGCCCUCUGACCACCACCAGUAGGCAACGGGUGAAGUGUCUUGCCCAAGGACACAACGACAGAGACUGUCCGGGCCAGGGCUCGAACAGGCAACCUUCCGAUUACAAAGCGAACUCCCAACUCUUGAGCCACGAUCGCCCCAAAUAAAUAAUUUUUUAUUUAUAUCGCACCUUUCAAGACAGAAUCACAAAGUGCUGCACAUAAGAUUACAAGUCAUAAAAAGAUUUAAAAAGAGAAAAUAAAACAGGCAAAAAAUUAA